rnacentral:lncRNA from 1 species
UUUUAAGGUAAUAGAAAUAGUAAACUCAAGGUCCUAAAGAUAGGGCUUUCUCAGACAGUCCCUACCGUUUGUUAUAGGAUUGGCUACAGACUCGGCAAUGACCUAUCAGUCUAGUUCUGUUCCAAAGUUAUAUAGAUUUCCUUCAUGAUCAUAAGAACUCCUUCUCGCACCCAAAUAUAGAUAUUCCAUCAGAUCCCUUCUCAGAAUUCUAUGAUAUCAUACACCUAGGUUAGAAGCUUGAACUCAGAAGCUUAGCAGUAGUAGAUUUGGGAUAGUAUUAUUCAGAUUUAUCAGAUCAUAUAUUCAUGGGGAUAGUUACACCAAUUAGUAGGCUUGAAUAGUACAAGCAAGAAUGUAAGU